AGAAUAUCAUAAAAUAAAUCAUAAUUUAACACUUAAGCAUGCAAGUCAAUAUUGGAGUAUUACUUAUUCAUUAAUUAUUUAAAUGUCAUUACCUCUUUUCAUAUAAUACAAUCAUCACGCUAAUUCAAGUCAUCUAUCCUUUAGAUAUUAUUAUGUAUCAAUACUUAAUCCUAGAAUGGUUCUCCUCAACAUAUUAUUGUCCAACACAUACAACUUAAUAUCAU
rnacentral:lncRNA from 1 species